GAAAAGAAACCAACAGGGAUUGCCCCAGUAACGGCGAGUGAAGCGGCAACAGCUCAAAUUUGAAAUCUGGCCCCUAGGGCCCGAGUUGUAAUUUGCAGAGGAUGCUUUUGGCGAGGUGCCUUCCGAGUUCCCUGGAACGGGACGCCAUAGAGGGUGAGAGCCCCGUCUGGUCGGAUGCCGAGCCUCUGUAAAGCUCCUUCGACGAGUCGAGUAGUUUGGGAAUGCUGCUCUAAAUGGGAGGUAUAUGUCUUCUAAAGCUAAAUACCGGCCAGAGACCGAUAGCGCACAAGUAGAGUGAUCGAAAGAUGAAAAGCACUUUGAAAAGAGGGUUAAAUAGUACGUGAAAUUGUUGAAAGGGAAGCGCUUAUGACCAGACUUGGACCCGGUGAAUCAUCCAGCGUUCUCGCUGGUGCACUUUGCCGGGCUCAGGCCAGCAUCAGUUUGCCUUGGGGGAUAAAGGCUUUGGGAAUGUGGCUCCCUCGGGAGUGUUAUAGCCCAUUGCACAAUACCCUGGGGCGGACUGAGGUUCGCGCAUCUGCAAGGAUGCUGGCGUAAUGGUCAUCAGCGACCCGUCUUGAAACACGGACCAAGGAGUCGUCUUCGUAUGCGAGUGUUCGGGUGUAAAACCCCUACGCGUAAUGAAAGUGAACGCAGGUGAGAGCUUCGGCGCAUCAUCGACCGAUCCUGAUGUUCUCGGAUGGAUUUGAGUAAGAGCAUACGGGGCCGGACCCGAAAGAAGGUGAACUAUGCCUGUAUAGGGUGAAGCCAGAGGAAACUCUGGUGGAGGCUCGCAGCGGUUCUGACGUGCAAAUCGAUCGUCAAAUAUGGGCAUGGGGGCGAAAGA
rnacentral:rRNA from 1 species